UGAUUUUGUUAAUUUCCUUUGAGUUAGACUAAUGUUAUGACCUUGUUAACCUAUGCAGCUUUUGGAGAUUACACAAGUUCCUGAUGCACAUGUGAAUGAGUUUUAACUCAAUUGAAAAAUUCAAGAUCUUCAAUACGAACAAUUUAUGGGUGAACUUGAAGGCUAUCAAGUGACUUGUGGAGGCCGAUGCACUUAAAAUGGAGAUCAUUCCUAACCCUAAGGAAGUAAAUGGUGUGAAAGUUCUUCAACUUGAAACUGCAGCUGGUGCAACAAUACGUUUCUUCAAUCAUGCUAUUGGGAUUAAUGUUCCCUGCUCUCACUUCCUCCCUGUGAAAGUAACAUCAGACUUGCUGCUAGUCCAGUUGGAUCUUUAUACUCAUUGAUGGAUGGCUUUGUGAUUUGCAACCAAGCUAGAUCAAACUAUGCGAACCCCACAAUCGAAUUAGGUCCUGAAUAUAAGAAGGUAGAAGAUGAUGUUCUUUAGAAUCAGAGAUCAGACUUUUACCCAUGUGCACUUAACGCCGGCCAUUCUUUUCCAUCUUGCGGGUUGGUGAUUUCCUUCACCAGCUCAAAUCCAUUCCGAGCAUUGUGGAUCUUGAUAGCUUGUAGGUUUCUGGUGAUGUAUGGUUUGGUGCUGGCCAUAGUUCUCAAGGGCAAGGUGACAAUCACCAACAAUUCCGUCAAGAAGCUUGAAAUUCCUGAUAGGAUCGUUCUUGAGAACAAGAAUAUCAAUGGCCCUGAGGACAUCUGAGUAUCUUUCCCUAGAGCAUUUGUAAGUCGGAGUUUUGCUUGUUUAAUGUGAUCAUCCUGUUGUUUAUCAGUUCAGUUCCUUUUGAUCAUAGCAGCAUUAUCUGCUCUACAAUAUUUGAGAGCCGUGCAAUUGAGUUUUGACACUUAUAAAGUUAACAAAUGAAGGUUUACUUACAAUGAUA